AACGAACGCUGGCGGCAUGCCUAACACAUGCAAGUCGAACGAGACCUUCGGGUCUAGUGGCGCACGGGUGCGUAACGCGUGGGAACCUGCCCUUAGGUUCGGAAUAACUCCCCGAAAGGGGUGCUAAUACCGGAUAAUGUCUUCGGACCAAAGAUUUAUCGCCUUUGGAUGGGCCCGCGUUGGAUUAGCUAGUUGGUAGGGUAAAAGCCUACCAAGGCGACGAUCCAUAGCUGGUCUGAGAGGAUGAUCAGCCACACUGGGACUGAGACACGGCCCAGACUACUACGGGAGGCAGCAGUGGGGAAUAUUGGACAAUGGGCGAAAGCCUGAUACAGCAAUGCCGCGUGAGUGAUGAAGGCCUUAGGGUUGUAAAGCUCUUUUACCCGGGAUGAUAAUGACAGUACCGGGAGAAUAAGCUCCGGCUAACUCCGUG
rnacentral:rRNA from 1 species